UAUAGCUUAGAGGUGCAGCACCUGCCUGGCAAGCAUGAGGUCCUGAGUUCAGUUCCCAGUA
rnacentral:tRNA from 1 species